rnacentral:rRNA from 1 species
UACCAGCAUCCCGAGUGGUCGGGACGAUUAUUGGGCCUAAAGCAUCCGUAGCCGGUCCUACAAGUCUUCCGUUAAAUCCACCUGCUCAACAGAUGGGCUGCGGAAGAUACUAUAGGGCUAGGAGGCGGGAGAGGCAAGCGGUACUCAGUGGGUAGGGGUAAAAUCCUCUGAUCCAUUGAAGACCACCAGUGGCGAAGGCGGCUUGCCAGAACGCGCUCGACGGUGAGGGAUGAAAGCUGGGGGAGCAAACCGG